CUACCACUGAUAGACUGUUUCGACUGUGUUGGCUACUUUGUCAACGAUGCAGAGGGCGACUGGUAGCUGCGAGGUGUGUCGAUCGCUAUGUGGAUCGUCUGGCCCAAGCAACAAGGAAUGAGCUUAUUAUGUCUUUGUUUUGCUUUGGAACCCCUUGGGAUGAUAAAAUUAUAAGUGUGAUGGGUUUGGAGGCACUGUUUAUGAGGCUGCAGAAACCAACAUGGCACUUCAAAUCUUGACAUGGCUUUCGGAGGAAGGCACCGAACAUGUCGGGAACCUGUGAAUCUCGUAACAAAUGAUGCAGAAUAGGCUUAGGUGGCGUUCGGCGAGGGAUCGGCCCGCGUCAUCGGAAGGAACCGAAAAGUUCUCUUCUUGGCUCCUCCUCUUCCUCUGGCACUUCUGGGGAUGGGAUUUGAGGUGCUGUAGUAUGUUACCUGGCUUGGAUUUUUUUUUUUUAUGCAUUUGAUGUUCUUGAUCCGUUUGGGGAGGUGAUGGCUUUUGGGUUCUCUUCCUUCUGGAGAUGUUGCCGCUGUUUUCUUAUGGGAUUUCCGAAGAGAAUCGUCUUCUUGGGAUUGGCUUUGUUUCUGUGGAGAAUUUAAGGCUACUGGGUAUCAUCGAAACUGCUUCUUUCUGCUGAGCAAAUCUUCUUUGGCAGUUCCUAGCACAUUAAAAAACUUUUCUUAGAAAUUAUUGGUAACAUGCUACUAGAUUAUGAGGCUUUAACAAGAUUAAAGUUUGCUCCCCAUGGUGUCAUUCCUUUAAUGUUCAACAUACGUUUCAUGCUAGGAAGUGUUUAUCAUACAUGUGUGGGACAGGAUUGUCUUGUUACCCAAAGAUUGGCUGUGUCUUUAAAGUAGUGUCUUACUAGGUUGCAAGAGAUUGCAUCCCUCGUUGAUUAAAGAGGGUGGGAUGAUUAGCUUUCCUCGACUUUUGCUUUCUGGCUCAGAAAUGAUUUUGAUGCUAAAAUCUAUCAAAAUAACUUGCCACAGGUAUCUAAAACAAUGGAUGUACCUGUUAUUGACUCAGACAGUGAGAUCUUCAGUGAAAUCAGUGAUGGCGAAGACAUAGAUGGCAGUGAAUCUACAUAUGGUGGACAUGCUCAGAACAUCCUGUCAAGUCUUGAUGAGAGCAUUGGAAAAAUUGAUGACAGAUCCCUCAGGCCAGUUAGGUCAGGUUAUGGAUGUUGUUAUGGUUGUAGAACUGGAGAGAGUUUCUGGUGGGGUAAUUAACUGACAGAGACAGCAAGAAACUCACUAGAUUCAAAUCCUUUGCAUCCUGUGGCUAUGUAGUUCAUGGCCUGUGGCUUGGAAGGGUGGACAGGGUCUCUGAUGUGGUUAAUGUUCUCGUUGAUGAUGGGGAAGAGUAUGAAAUAUUGGUCAGGGAUUCUGAAAUUUUGGUUCCUGUUUCUCCAAGAUAUGAAGAUACACUGUUUCAGUAUUAUCCAGGACAAUGUGUCAAGGUCAAUCGUCAACAUGUUUCUGGAUUUGCAUCAUGGUUUUGUGGAAUAAGGAAGGGAAAUCGAGAUGAAGGUACUAUCAUCCAUGUUGAAGUAGGGUUUGUAUAUGUUAGUUGGAUAUCUUCUGUGAUUAUUGGACAGGGCAUCCUUUCAUCACCUCCUCCUCAUUUCCAAUCUCCAAAGGGCCUUGCUUUGUUGUCAUAUUUUUCAUAUACUAAUUGGCAAAUAGGUGAUUGGUGUAAACUUUUAGCUGAUUUCUUGGAUGAUCUGCAUAAAACUGCUGAAAAUAAACUGCCUCUGCAAAUAGCACCCAUCUGUUCUACCGAAAUGCAGAAGGAUUCAGGAAUGAGAAGUCAAGAGAUGUAUAUGAUCACAAAAACCAAGAGCAAGGUUGAUGUCUUGUGGCAAAAUAGUGAAAGGUCAUUUGGCUUAGAUCCACAAAGUUUGUCUCCUGUGAGUGAUGUUGGUGAUCAUGAUUUUUGGCCCGAACAGUUUGUCUUGGAGAAGGUGACAUGAGAAGAUGUAUGUGCUCCAAGGAUCCAAAGGCAUGGUAUCAUGAAAAAUGUGGAUCCAUAUGAGCGGACAGUUAAAAGUAAAAUGGACAGUUCCUAAUAUUAAAGAAACUUGAUUUUUCUUGUGAAUCCAUCGAGGAGACAGUUAGUGUUUUUGAACUGAUAGAGCAUCCAAGUUUCUCCUAUUGUGUUGGUGAUAUUGUGCUUAGAUAUAUAUCACCUACCAAGAAUGUGGAAGUAAAUCUUCCUGAUAUGCAAAGUAAUGACCAAGACCCUAGGCGUAAUCUACCUACUCCAGGAAACAACUCUUUUUGGAGAAGAUGCUAUUGGAGAACUCAUUGGUGGAAGGGAUAGUGACGAUUUUCAACAUUAUUUGUCAUGUAUAGGUAAUGUUAUUGGCUACAAGGAUAAAUGUGUUGAGGUGAGAUGGCCUAGUGGUCAUGUCUCCAAGGUACGUAAUCUACCUACAUGCUGCCCAACCUUAUUUCUCGCUCUAAGUCUCUCAGUACCAGCUUUUGAAGAAAGAACUUCAAUUCAGUUGGGUCUACAUGAUGAACAGCUGGAAAUUUUGAGGCGAGAAACCAGAGAGUUUAAACAGGGUGAUGAACCCAUCAUUUUACCUGAAGAGGAUAAGCCAAUAAAAUUUAAGCAAUUCAAUGUUGUUAAUGACUUCUCAGAUCAUCAUUUUAUCAAUGGCAUUGGUGAUGGUAUAAUGCUGUCUCAGGUGAAAAGAGGUUGGUUCAAGAAAGUACAACAAGAAUGGAGCUUCCUGAAAAGGGAUCUACCAGAUGCUAUCUAUGUUAGGGUAUAUGAGGAAAGAAGGGAACUUAUGAGAGCAACAAUUCUUGGAUCACCUGGAACUCCAUACCACGAUGGUCUAUUCUUCUUUGAUAUUUUCUUUCCUCCGGAUUAUCCUCAAGAACCUGUUGUUCACUAUAAAUCUGGUGGACUGCGACUCAACCCAAACCUGUAUGAAUCAGGAAAGGUUUGAUUAAGCCUUCAAAAUACAUGGAUGGGGACUGGUAUACUGAAGUAUGGAAUCCUGAGAGUUCCACAGUGCUUCAAGCCCUGAUCUCUCUCCAAGCACUUGUUCUGAAUGAGAAGCCAUAUUUCAAUGAGGCUGGCUUUGAUGAAGAAAUUGGAAAAGUUGAUGGGUGAUAGGAACUCCAUCACUAGAAUGGUUUCCUACAGUCAUGCAAAUCAAUGUUAUACAUAUUACGCAAGCUGCCUAAGGUAACCUGACAUCUCCAACAUGACUGUACUGCCGACUUGUAGAUUUCAUCAACAAAUAGUGUAUGCUUAUGCCUGGAAGUUACCUGCCUCGUUGAUUUCUUGCAAAUGCAGCAUUUUGAGGCACUCGUCGAGGAGCAUUUUGCACAAAGGUCACAUCAUAUUCUCAAUGUCUGCAAGGCUUAUUUGGAAGGUGCACAGGUUGGUCACGCUUACAAGCAUGGAAGGGUUGCCUGCAAAACUUGUUCCACUGGAUUCAAAAUCAUGCUUGGAAAACUUUUCCCAGAACUCAUAUCUGGCUUCAACCAAAAUGGAACUGAUUGCAGCCAGUUUCUCAACUAAGCCAAAUGAAUGAUUCAGGUGAACGAACACCUGGAAUAAUUUGGUAUCAGUAGGGGGGGGUGUGUUGAUUAGUGUCCUAAAGGCACUUGUAUAGUUGUUCCAAUGACUUGUAUGAUUACAGUAAUGUUUAUGACACUUGUGGGUGUUUUGAUUUC